UACUAUAUAUUUGUGUACGUAAUGAUAUUGUUUAUCCUCUCUCUAUCUUGAUCCAAGACUUAAAUCUCCGACAGCCACGACGAUCCUGUCUCAGAGAUUUGAAUAGCCAUUGACGAUGAUUUUGAAGGGUGAUUCAGAUAAAUAAUUAAAGGAGAAAAAUAAUAAUGGGAAAAGACAAGCAUCAUGAACAAGACAAGGGACUGUUUUCACAUCAUCACCAUCACCAUCAAGGAUAUCCGCCGGGAAACUAUCCUCCACCGCCGGGAAAUUAUCCUCCGCCGCCGCCGGGUGCAUACCCCGCCGGACCGUACGGUUAUCCUCCGGCCCCUCACGGCUAUCCCCCUCACGGUCCCUACCCUCCGGCCGGUUACCCCGGCCCUCACGCCCAUCCCGGGCAUGGAGGAGGAGUCGGGGGAAUGAUCGCAGGAGCUG